UACAGAGGUCUCAAGCGUUGUUCGGAUUCAUUGGGCGUAAAGGGUGCGUAGGCGGCGCGGUAAGUCGGGUGUGAAAUCUCGGAGCUUAACUCCGAAACUGCAUUCGAUACUGCCGUGCUUGAGGACUGGAGAGGAGACUGGAAUUUACGGUGUAGCGGUGAAAUGCGUAGAUAUCGGGAGGAACACCAGUGGCGAAGGCGGCUAUCUGGACGCAUACUGACGCUGAAGUUCGAAAGCGUGGGGAGCAAACAGG
rnacentral:rRNA from 1 species